rnacentral:lncRNA from 1 species
ACCCAGUUCCAUACAGAACGGAGCCUUAGGCAUCCAGCCGUUGGGGUGUGCCACUCAGAUCUCCUUUAAAGGAAGAAAUUGCCAUGAGGAAUGUAGUUAUCUGACAGCCUCCAGCUGCCUCAACUUUGAGGUCUUUCGCAGCAUUCACUCAAAGGCCACAUAGUCCUGGUCAAAGACUAAACAUGGCAAAGUUUCUAGAGCUGGUCCAUUCUUGCUCAUCAUAGGAUUCCUCUAAUGGGAAAUCUUUCCCCAAGGGUUCCGCAUUAGCCUAACCAAGACUUUCUCUGAGACUCUUAGUUAUUAUGAUGCUACUUCCACCAGCACCAGGGUUCUUGUUGCUAUCUGGCUGUUGAGUGAUUCAGUCCCACUGAGCAAUGUCAACCUGAUUGUCUUUCUUUGUUUUUAAGAAACAGGGUCUUGCUCUGCUGCCCAGGCUGGAGCACAGUAGUGUGAUCAUAGCUCACUACAGCCUUCAACUCCUGGGCCUUAGCAAUCCUCCUGCCUCAGCCUCCCAAGGAGCUAUGGCUGCAGGUAUCCGCCACCACUCAUUGACAGCCACUUCCAGUACUCACUGUCUUGGACACAGACUUGAGUAAAAGUACAGGGGCAAGAGGCCUGGAUGAAGAAAUACCCUCAGAAACUCCCACUCUUCUGGUUCCUGCUGAAGACUCCAGUAAUAAAAGUUAUUCAUACCUACCUCCACCAUCUUGGCUGGGAAGUCAAGGAUACAGGAAGAAGAUAGCAGCCCGCAACCCGGAAGAGGGCCCUCACCAGAACCUACCAUGCUGGCACCCAGACCUCAGACUUCCAGCCUCCAGAAAUACACCAUCUGGCUCUGUCACCCAGGCUGGAGUGCAGUGGCCUGGUCACAGUUCACUGCAGCUUCGACUUCCCUGGCUCAAGUGAUCCUCCCUCCUCACCCUACAGGCAUGCACCACCGUGCCCAGGAGCUCCCUCUGCUGCAGGAACUCAACGAUAGGGAGGAAGAGUCCAGAAAAGUAGGGCUGUCAGCACCUCUGUGAGCAGCCGACGAUCCACAGCGGAUGGAGUUUGGUGGUAAAGGUACUCACUUCCUGUCUCUCUGGUGAUGAUUUUGAGCAUGUUCUACAAAGUCUUUCAGAUGGUCCCAGUAGGUUGGAGCCCAGCUGCCCUCAGUGGUAACCUGCCCAUUAACGUAUCCUGUGUUGGUUUCCUUUCCUCCCCUACCUCACCUCCCCACUCCCCUUUCUAUGAUUCCUAGAGUCACCUCCCAAAUAAACUUUCAC